rnacentral:rRNA from 1 species
ACUGCGAGCGUGACGGCGCGAGCAGGUGCGAAAGCAGGUCAUAGUGAUCCGGUGGUUCUGAAUGGAAGGGCCAUCGCUCAACGGAUAAAAGGUACUCCGGGGAUAACAGGCUGAUACCGCCAAA